rnacentral:lncRNA from 1 species
GUGUGUGUGUGUGUGCUGGAGAGUUCACUGUAAGUCUGAUGGGCCAGUGGGCUGUGUGUCAGGGGUCGACUUAUGAGAGCUGCGGUUGUGUCAGGGCACUGUGUGUGAUUGUGUCAGUAUAAUGCUGUGUAUCAGUUGAUUGUGUGUGUCCGUGGGAUGGUGUUGUGUGUCAGCAAGCUACGUUUGUCCCAUAGCGCAGUCAUGUGAUUGUGUGUGGGCACACGAUGUGAUUGUGCGUCCUUGUGCUAUUGUAUGAUGUUCAGGCAUGUUGUGUGCGAAUGUGGUAGUGUCCUUGUGUGCUUGUGUCCAUGGGCUGUUUCGUGCAAUGUGCUGGUGUGCAUGGGUGAGGUGUUGUGUGUCCAUGUGAUUGUGUUUGCGUGACAGUGGGAUUGCAGACGUGUUGGAGUGAGCUUGAAUGUUUAGCGGAAAGGUCUGUGGACAUGCUGUCUUACUGUUGUGUUAGAGUGGUUGUAAGCAUCCGUGUAACAUGGCAUGUCAAUGUGGUUGUGUCACUGUGGUUGUGUAUGUGCAACACUAUGAUUGUGUGUGUCCCACCAACACACACACACAGUGCUGUGUGUGGGUGGGAUUGUGUGUGUGCACAAUGCUGCACGUCCAUGGGAUUUUCUGUGCCACUGUGUCGUGUUGCGUUGUGUGUGGUGGAUAUGUUGUGUGUCACUGUGAUGGUGUGUGCCCAUAUGCUUUGCUGUGAUCGGGGGAAGAUGUGCGAGUGUGUCACAGGUAUUGUACAUCUGGACAAUGCUGUGUAUAGAGGGGUUGUGUAUGUGACACUGUUAUUGUAUCUGAAGUGUGUGUCUGUGGGACUGCAUGCUACUGAGAGUGUGCAUCUGUACAGUGCUAUGUGUUCUUGUGAUUGUGUAUGUCAUUGUAAUUGUGUGUCACUGUGAUUAUAUUUGUCAGGGUGAUGUUGGUGUCCAUGGGACUGUAUGUUCACGAGCCUGUGUGUGUCUGUGCAAUGUUGUGUGUCACUGUGAUUAAGUUGUGAUUCUGUGUGUCACUGUGAUAGCGUGAGUGUCAGGACCAACUGGCUGUGGGAAUAUGAGGUGUCACUGUGAUUGUGUGUGUGUUACUGAUAUUGUGUGUUCCAGGAACAAAAUCAUGGAGAUUGCCUGGGUCUGGGCAACAGUGGGUGUCAGUGUGGUUGUGUGUCGUUGUGAUUGUGUGUCCGGGCUGUGCUGUGUGUCCUGGACCUACAUCUGCGUCCUGAGAUUUUGGGUCGGUGUGAUGCUGUGGGUCUCUGCAUGUUCCUGAGACCGUGUGUGUAUGACACCGUGUGUGUCACUGUGAUUGUGUGUGUGUGGGAAGGGGAAGGCGAUGUUGCGUGUCCCUGGGACAGUGUAAGUGUGUGAGCCACUCUGACUGUGUGGCCGCGUGCUUCGCUGGGUGUCGGGGGAAGGUGCGUCUCCAGGCCUCCUGCCCGAGAACAGCGACGCUGCUUUCUGAUUGGCUGCGGCCUCGCCAGUGAGAAGCUGCGGAAUCCUGCGGUAACUUGGUAACUCGGUAACUCGGCCGCCGCCGCCGCCGCCGCCGCCGCCGCCGCCGCCACCGCCGCCGCCGCCGGGAUGAGCCGAUUGGGAGGGGCCCCGCCCACGUCCCGCAGGGCCCGCCCUGGCGGGCGACCGUAACCCCGAGUGCUCCUCCCCGCGCCCCCUCUUCCCACUGGCUUCCCCCCUACCUGUCUGUACGGUGGUCCUUGACUCCAUCUCCCUCACCUCUGCCUCUGCCUCUGCUUCCCCGUCUCUACCACUCGCCACGACUCUCUCCGCCUCUGAGUCCCCCCUGUUUGUCUCUCCCUAUCUCUGUGUCUCUGCCUGUCUCUUUCUCUUUUUGUCUGUUUCCCAGGUCCCAGCUCUGUCUCUCCAGCAUCUCUCUCUCCUUGAUCUCUCUCUCGCCCCAUCUUUCUCUUCCUGUCUCCGUCUUUCCACCUUUGUCUCUCCAGAGACGUUCUCGGGCUGUCUCUCCUUUUCUCUGUCUCUCUCCCCCUCUCCUCUGUCUCAGUCUCCCCAACUUCGUCUUUCCCACGUCUCGUCUCUCUCUCUCUCUCUCUCUCUCUCUCUCUCUCUCCCUCCCUUCUCCACCCCGCCUCCCAACUCCCACAGCCAAGCUCAGAAUUCACUUUUCAUUCUGCGGAGAGCGCAGGGGACCUUUCGCUACUUCAUCCUCGCCCCUUCCCAAAGGCCCAGGCUCCUGGCAGCAGGCCCCACGCGGGGCAGACCUCAGGAAGGACUUCCCGCCCUGGUUCAGCAGUGGAGUUUUAUCGCUCCGGCCAGGCAGAGGCCGGGCGGCCCCGUGGCUUCCGGAGGCGCCCGGGCGGGAUGAGCUCACUGCAAGUUGGCUUGGAUUUCAUCAGCUUCCUCUGCCGGAGUUGCCCCCGCUCCUCAUCCCGCGCUGGCCGAGUCGGCGAAUCCGCCGGGCUCUGCUGCCCCCGAGCGGCAAGAGGAGGUAGCGCAGGCGCCGUGUAAAAAAUUCCACCUUUGCUGUUCACGAUGUCACCAAUUCAUGAAUGCUGCAAAUACGAACCCAUUUCAAACUCACGAGAGCCCCAUGAGAUAGAGACUAUUUCAAAUCCAAUUUAAAACUGAGAAGCUGAAGUCGGAGACUUGAGGUCAGCCGCCUGAGGUGAAUGGAGUCCUUUGGAGGCUGACGUGGGCAGAGAAGGGAAAUGCUUGUAAUCACCAAGAUAUCUGUGGUCAUUUAUUCUUAUAUUCUUAUAUUCAUUCAUUCAUUCAUUCAUUCAUUCAUCAGAGAUUCGAAUCUCUGGGCCAGGAACUGUUGUAGGCAUCGAGGACACAGCAGUGAACAAAACAAAAAUCUCUGCCUUCCAGAGGCUGUUACUCUGGUCUGGGGGAGACAGAUGCUGAAUAAUAUAAUUAACAAUACAGAGUCUCAAAGUAGAUAAAAGAAGCAGGGAAAGGGGCUCGAGAGUGUUGAGAGUGGUCUUAGUCACUAGGAUGAUCAAGGAAGGUGUUCCUGAGAAAGCGAUGGUUGAGGACGUGCCCAGAGGGGGUGAGGCAGCGAAGAGCGCCCCAGACAGAGGGAAGGGCAGGUGCACCGGUCCUGAAGCCAGAAUGGGCCUGUCCAGGAGAGUGGGUGCGGCUGGAAGGAAGUGAGCAAGGGGAGAGGGUUGGGAGGUGAAUUCCAGUGCAGGAUUAGAUGAUGGUGAGGAUUUUACUACUUACUCUGAGUUGGGUGGGAGCCCCUGGAGAGCCCCUAAGCAGAGGACGCGCGUUCUUAAGCCGCCCUCUGGCGGCCAGGUGGAGUAUAGACUGUGGGCGGAGAGAGCAGAGGGCUACCGUAAUAACCCUGGUUGGUGGGUGGAGAGUGGACCAGAGUGGUUACUGUGGGAUCAGGCUCAUCGCGGAGCCUAUGGGAUUGGCUGAGGCACUGGGGGUGGAUGUGUGGGAAAGAAAGGAGUUUAAGGGGUUCCCGGUUUUGACUUGAGCAGCUAAAAGGAUAAAGGGGCCAUGAUGAUGACAGCGGUAAUAAUAAUAGCAGUUGUAAUAACGCAGUUCUCACUUUCUGUUCACCUAUUAGGUGCCAAGCUCUGUGCCAACGCAAUGCUUUACACACCUGACCUCGUUAAAUCCUUAUGACUAUCCUGAGAGGCACAGGUGGGUGAUGUAUGGUUCUGGAUUUAUUUUGAAAGUAGAAGAGUUCCGGAGUUCCCAUCGUGGUGCAGCAGAAAUGAAUCCAACUAGGAACCAUGAGGUUGCAGGUUCGUUCCCUGGCCUUGCUCAGUGGGUUAAAGAGCUGGCGUUGCUGUGAGGUGUGGUGUAGGUCACAGAUGUGGCCCGGAUCUGGCAUUGCUGUGGUGUAGGCCGACAUCUAUAGCUCCAAUUCGACCCCUAGCCUGGCAACCUCCAUAUGCUGUGGGUGCGGCCCU